AAGUAUUAAAAUAAAAUCUGAAAAGAAAAGAAAAACAAAAAGAAAUAAAAUGGACUCAAGUGGCAAAAGGGGUGCAUCAACAAAGUGAACAUGAACUGAAGAAUACUUAAACACGCAAAUGGGCCCAAAAGCUGGGGGUGGGAAAAGUAAGCGCGCCAGAAUUAUGAUCUAAUUCUAAUUAAAAUCUGAUUUUAUUAAAGUGACAUUGAAAUAAAUAUUAAAAUGAACAAAAAAACAUGUGAACAUGACAUCAACUGAUUACACCCUACUUAGGUUACAAAAAG
rnacentral:lncRNA from 1 species